GAUGAACGCUGGCGGCGUGCCUAAUACAUGCAAGUCGAGCGAACAGACGAGGAGCUUGCUCCUCUGACGUUAGCGGCGGACGGGUGAGUAACACGUGGAUAACCUACCUAUAAGACUGGGAUAACUUCGGGAAACCGGAGCUAAUACCGGAUAAUAUAUUGAACCGCAUGGUUCAAUAGUGAAAGACGGUUUUGCUGUCACUUCUAGAUGGAUCCGCGCCGCAUUAGCUAGUUGGUAAGGUAACGGCUUACCAAGGCAACGAUGCGUAGCCGACCUGAGAGGGUGAUCGGCCACACUGGAACUGAGACACGGUCCAGACUCCUACGGGAGGCAGCAGUAGGGAAUCUUCCGCAAUGGGCGAAAGCUUGACGGAGCGACGCCGCGUGAGUGAUGAAGGUCUUCGGAUCGUAAAACUCUGUUAUUAGGGAAGAACAAAUGUGUAAGUAACUAUGCACGUCUUGACGGUACCUAAUCAGAAAGCCACGGCUAACUACGUG
rnacentral:rRNA from 1 species